UCACAGUAAGCAGUAGAUAUUUUUAAAUAGGAACUAUACAAAAAGGAUAAGCAUAACCCCUGCGCAAGGAUGACACGCACAUUUUGUGAAGCGUUCUAUAUUUUU